UUGAGUCUACGUCUAUCAGGAGUGCCUUAGGAUAUGAUGGAUUAAGUGCGAAGGGUUUAUUAGUUCAAAAAAACAAAAAAGAAUGAGAAUAAAAAAUGUUAUGGAGGGAAAAAAGAACUAAAUUGGGGACAUAAGAGAAAUUAAAGAAAUUAAGAGCUUGAAAGAAAAGGAAGGUAGAGAGAGAAGAAAAAAGUAAUGAGAAAUAUAGUAAAUGUUUGGUAUAGUUGGAGUUAGU
rnacentral:lncRNA from 1 species